rnacentral:rRNA from 1 species
GCAAGCAGCCAUAUCACUCUGCAACUCACAACUGGCGACCCACUGAAGUUAAGCAGGUGUGAGCCUGGUCAAUACCUGGAUGGGAGACCUCCUGGGAAACUCUGAGUGGAGUGUC